CCUUGCUCGUCGUAGUCGUUCUCCAACUGCAGGUCUGCGAAGUAAUCGCCCUCGUCGUAAUAGUCGUCUGCGUCGCCCGGCUCGUAAUUGGAUGGCAGCUCCGGAAAAAUGUUGUAUUCCCACAUGGACAGCAUGGUGGUGUCUGGAGUGCGGCAACGCUUGGACGAAUUGCAAAAGCCAAAAGAUGAGCACUGCGGUGAGCAGAACGAGUCGCAGGUGAAACAUUAUUUUGGAGUAUGUAUUCCACGGACGAGGUGCACAGUGCGAGAGAAGAAGUGAAACUGACCAGGGUCAGCAUCCCCAACUCCUUUAGAGAUCUUGGAAAGAGAGGGAUGCGGAGGAGGGACGAGACAAAAUCACUCUGGUGACAAAAAUGUUUAAUGGUUGGCUGACGGCAUUAAAAAUAAGGAGCAUGACUUUUGCUGGAGCAAAUUAUGAGGCACGUGCUCUCAGGUGCGUGAGAGGGUCAGGUGUCGGAUUUGCUGCUGUUAUGGGGACAAAGGUUUUGUCCUGUUUUUAUCCUUUUACUAUUUUCCUGUCUCAGCUGGAGAUUUUUUCUGUCCCUCGUCAUAGCACUCCAAUCAGCAGAUCGCGUAAAGUAACAUUGGCGCCAUAAUAUGGUUUUAACAGUGGUUGGAAAUUUUCCUGUCGUGUCACCCUUUGUCAGCAGGGACAAGAAAAAUAACAUAGAAUUCCUAUUUACGUUUAUUUGCGUCGAAGAUACAGUUUUCCGCUUAAAUAGAGAUAAUCGGUAAAAUUGUUUUCUCCAGAAAAAAUGAAAUAUUUUUUGUAGAGAGAAAUAAAUAUAUCAAAAAAUUAAGCGGUUUGCUAUGAAUAGAAUUGUAAAAAUCCACGAAAUUAUUUAUAAAAUGAAUUCAAAAUUUUCAAGGGAUGAAAAUUAGUUUUAUUAAGUCCCUUCCUUUCCAAUUAAGAUGUUUUAAGCUUUUAUCAACAUGUACUUGAAUGCUUGAAAAUAAGCCAACAUGAGGAGGGAAUAAUAUUAUAAUUGCCAAUUAUUUUCAUAAAUUUUAAUAAUUUUUUAAAUAAUAAAAAUAGAGUAAAGAACUUUCACCGAUUAAUUUGAUAUUUCCAUUACUUUUUACAGCGGAAAGUAAGUAUACAUUCUGUAUUCUUGUGCUGCUUGAAAUGUAUUGCCAUUUAUUUUUAUGCUUCUCAAUCUCAAAGUAACAGUGUUAUUGUCGGU